GGAUGUGAGGGUGACCUACCUAUGGCAUCUGUUAGCCCAUUAAUACCCAGGGUUCAUUCUGUAGACCUAGCAGGCUAGGCGAAUGCCCCUUCCCUCCAUUACUGCUCCAUGUAUGUCCCUCCUACAGCUGUGAAUUGGAGACCUUUAGACCAGUUUGUCUAAGAGGACAACUUUCUAUGAGACAGAGAAACCCAUAGCUGUGCUAGAACCUCCAGACAAGUUCUCAAGAAUGUCAGCAUUACAUCAGUUGUCAGUAGGUACCUUCAAGAGUCAAAAGACAGCAUAUACAUAUGUAGUGUUUAGCU
rnacentral:snRNA from 1 species